UUCUGGCUUCAGCAGUACAUAUGCCAAAAAUUGGAACACUACAGAGAUUAUUAGCAUGGCCUCUGAGCAAGGAAGACUGGCAAAUUCACAAAGCGUUUCAUAUGUGU
rnacentral:snRNA from 1 species